rnacentral:lncRNA from 1 species
GCGGCGGAGGAGAGGAGGAGGGGGUCGCGGGCGGUGGAGAGGAGGGUGAGGAGGGGGGCGACGGUGAAGAAGGAUGGUGAGAAGGGAGACGAUGGUGAAGAAGAAGGCGACGGUCCGCCUUUUUUUUUCGGCGAGAAAAAAAAAAAAGAACGACAGAAACGAGGAGAGAGAAAGAGGAAAGAGAAAAAGUAAUAAGGGUAUUUUGGUCAGUUUGCUGAAAAAGUGGACCGAAUCUGCAAAAACGAAAAAGGUGACCCGGUUUUGCAAAAGCCCAAAAUAAGUGGAUUUUUUAUGCAAAAAGGCCUUUGAGAAAACGUGUGUGAGAAACAAAAUAUUUAAGGAACCCCGUAAAUAUGAUAUAAUGGCUAUUUUAAAUUAUAACGAAAAUUACGUUUGAGAAAAUGCGUAGAUAUUUGUAAAAUGUAUAGAUAGGAGAUAACGGAUAUUUUGGGUAUUUUUGUCAAGAAAAGUGACAGAUACUUUUAUUUUUAAUCGGUGGAUGAUAUCCAAUGGUAAAAAUUUAAGAUCUAUAUUUGAGAAUAAAUUAUUAUUUGAAAAAUUAUUUGAAACGAAUAGUUACAAAUUACUGGACAUGAAAAUACCCAAAAUAUCCGUUAUCUCCUAUCUAUACAUUUUACAAAUAUCUACGCAUUUUCUCAAACGUAAUUUUCGUUAUAAUUUAAAAUAGCCAUUAUAUCAUAUUUACGGGGUUCCUUAAAUAUUUUGUUUCUCACACACGUUUUCUCAAAGGCCUUUUUGCAUAAAAAAUCCACUUAUUUUGGGCUUUUGCAAAACCGGGUCACCUUUUUCGUUUUUGCAGAUUCGGUCCACUUUUUCAGCAAACUGACCAAAAUACCCUUAUUACUUUUUCUCUUUCCUCUUUCUCUCUCCUCGUUUCUGUCGUUCUUUUUUUUUUUUCUCGCCGAAAAAAAAAGGCGGACCGUCGCCUUCUUCUUCACCAUCGUCUCCCUUCUCACCAUCCUUCUUCACCGUCGCCCCCCUCCUCACCCUCCUCUCCACCGCCCGCGACCCCCUCCUCCUCUCCUCCGCCGCCGCGGACCCC